rnacentral:rRNA from 1 species
UACGUAGGGGGCGAGCGUUAUCCGGAAUUACUGGGUGUAAAGGGAGCGUAGACGGCGAAGUAAGCCUGAAGUGGAGGCCCGCGGCCCAACCGCGGAACUGCUUUGGGAACUGCUUAGCUGGAGUAUGGGAGGGGUAAGCGGAAUUCCUGGUGUAGCGGUGAAAUGCGUAGAUAUCAGGAGGAACACCGGUGGCGAAGGCGGCUUACUGGACCAUGACUGACGUUGAGGCUCGAAAGCGUGGGGAGCGAACAGG